ACCUCUAGCCAGGGACGCGCGCUCGGUCCCCCGCCGUGCGCCCCCGGUCCCGCGCCCAGGCUCCCGCCCCUGGCCUCCUUACCAGCCACUUGUCGCCCAGCUGCGAACUGGAGCGGGAGGCGGCGGCCGGAGGGCCCAGGACAGCCCCGGGAGGGCGGCGAGGCGGAGCAGGAGCGCCCCGGCUCCGGCCACAUUCUCAGAGUCAGGAAAAGGGGCGAGAGGCCACAUGUCUCCCUCUCGCCCAACUGAAAACGAAACGGCGCUCCAGCAGAUUGGGUGGAAAGAGCUGGGUCUCUUUUCUCUGUUUUUCACGCUAGAAAGGGCUUGUAAACAUUGUUCCUUUUAAAAUGACCUACCCCAGGCAUUUGUUUGGGCACACUUCUGUCCUGGGGUCAUCGUUCCUAGGUGGCUUCGGACCUGGGACUUUUCCUGUAUCUGCACAUUGUCGUUUUAUACACAAUUGCCAAGGUGGGACUGCUUUCAACUUUACUGUGCUUGAAGCUGCAAAGGUUCUGCCCUGAUGUUUCCUGGAAUAAUGCUGAGGACUGCCUUUCGGGUAGCCGCCCUAUUCAGUUCACUUCAUCUCGGAAAUACCUGACCCCUGCCUUGGAUCCAGCGGCCCUCCUGAGAGCUGAGGAAGGAGGAAAUCCUAUGUGUCUGCUCCCGGAGCUGCCACAACCCAUCUUCCCACAACUCGGAACUUGGAAAAAGGAACCCAGGACACGACUUUGCUUUUCUUUUGGACCUAGUUGCAACUUUUAAAAGCCUUUCCACUGCACAGUGAAAGAAAACCACAAACUCCUUGUUUAAUAAGUGGGAUCACGUGCUUUUAACACGAGGAAAAGGUCAAUCUGAAGCAACUGAUAUGGAACUGCCAGAGUAGGAGUUGAAAAUCUUCCUAAACUGCUGGAGGAUACACCUCUGAUAGCUUGAGACAAAUAUCCUCUUGAUCAUUGUUUCACCAUAUUUGUCUUUGCUCAUGGAGAACCAUUUUGAUCCGUGGUUUAGCCUCCCAGGUGAUUGAACAAUACCGGUGAUCUGAGGCAGACCCUCUGUGACGGAUAACAGAAAAGAAAAUUGAGGAUCAGAAAAUACGCACAAUUUGCAAAAACCAUGGGAAAGAAUAUUGAUUGAACAUCUACUCAAGAACUGCAAAACAGAGAUUACCUGACCUAAAGAUGAAUCCAGGAUUCGGUGGUGCCUGUUCCAGGAACCUUUAGUGUGAAGGAUCCUCCAGGUGAGAGAAGCCUUUAUGUCUUCUGAAAUGGUUCUGCUGUGUCCCCACCCAAAUCUUGUAUUGAAGCUCCCAUAAUUCCCGCGUGCUGUGGGAGGGACCCAGUGGGAGAUAAUUGAAUCAUGGAGGCAGUUUCCCCCAUACUGUUCUUGUGGUAGUGAAUAAAUCUCACCAGAUCUGAUGAUUUUAUAAGAGGUUUCCCCUUUCACUUGGCUCU
rnacentral:lncRNA from 1 species